AUGACGAGAUGUCGACUUGGAGGUUGUGCCCUUGAGGCGUGGCUUCCGGAGCUAACGCGUUAAGUCGACCGCCUGGGGAGUACGGCCGCAAGGUUAAAACUCAAAUGAAUUGACGGGGGCCCGCACAAGCGGUGGAGCAUGUGGUUUAAUUCGAUGCAACGCGAAGAACCUUACCUACUCUUGACAUCCAGAGAACUUUCCAGAGAUGGUUUGGUGCCUUCGGGAACUCUGAGACAGGUGCUGCAUGGCUGUCGUCAGCUCGUGUUGUGAAAUGUUGGGUUAAGUCCCGCAACGAGCGCAACCCUUAUCCUUUGUUGCCAGCGGUUAGGCCGGGAACUCAAAGGAGACUGCCAGUGAUAAACUGGAGGAAGGUGGGGAUGACGUCAAGUCAUCAUGGCCCUUACGAGUAGGGCUACACACGUGCUACAAUGGCGCAUACAAAGAGAAGCGACCUCGCGAGAGCAAGCGGACCUCAUAAAGUGCGUCGUAGUCCGGAUUGGAGUCUGCAACUCGACUCCAUGAAGUCGGAAUCGCUAGUAAUCGUGGAUCAGAAUGCCACGGUGAAUACGUUCCCGGGCCUUGUACACACCGCCCGUCACACCAUGGGAGUGGGUUGCAAAAGAAGUAGGUAGCUUAACCUUCGGGAGGGCGCUUACCACUUUGUGAUUCAUGACUGGGGUGAAGUCGUACGGUAUUCCCAAAAA
rnacentral:rRNA from 1 species